CCCGAUAAUCCACGUAUACUCAACCUUCUAUUGAUACUACAGCAUGUGUACUGCCGUUGUAAGCAUACCUCUAAAAGUAAGUAUGCCAUCAUGAUGCUAAACUCAUAUACAUCAGGUCAAAGUGCAGCUAAUAAGGAGGUGAUGAUGGGUUACAACCCAAAAACGGACUAUCAAAUAAGAAAUAAAAAAUCUUAUGAAAGUGGACUUGGCCGUAAUCAAUUUACAAGUUAAAAAAAUGAAUAAACAUCUAAGAUAUGCACACAUCGCCCGUCAUUCUACCCUAAAGGGUAGACAAGUCGUAACAAAGUAGGCGUAAUGGAAAUUGCGCCUGUCGGAGUAUAGCAUAUAUAAUGCUUUUUACUUACACUAAAAAUAAAGUUAAUAAACUUGCUUCGCAAAAAAUUUAGAGCCCUAAAAAUUAAUUUAAUUUACAACCAUACAAAAUAAAGUACAGAAAUGGAAGAAAUAAUUAAUAAAAGUAAAUAUUAAAAAUUGUACCUUGUGCAUUAUGGUUUUACAAGAAAAUAAUUAAAAAUACUAGUCCCGAAUUCUAAAUGAGAUGUUAAACUGCUGUUAAGAACCCAUUAGUAGCUGUAGAAAAAGCUUUUAAAGACUGUUUAACAGGGGCUACAUACCAUCCGCAUAAGAAUAUAUCUGGUUUUCAACAAACAUUAUUCAUUAAAACAUAUAAUUAUAUUAUAGUGUAAUGUUAUUGAGGAUAAGCCCAAUAACUAAGGCAAUAACAUAUAAACCUAUUUUAUACACUAGGCCUAAAACCAGCCAAUUAUAAUGCUUUAUCGCAAUGUAUGAUGAUAUAAUACAUAUGCUAAUAUGCUAAAUAAAGUUGAAAUAGUGGAUAAACAACUAACCCCACAAAUAAUAUGUAAAAAUAAGUAUUAAAAAACUAUAGUAACCAACUACAAAUAAAAUAAUAAAAAAUAACUAGUUAAGGAACUCGGCAAACAAAUAUUUCGACUGUUUAACAAAAACAUUGUCUCAUGAAUAAAACAUAUGAGAU
rnacentral:rRNA from 1 species